GGAGGGGUGGUCUAGUGGUCAUGACACCUCGCUUACACCGAGGGAAUCGCGGGUUCAACUCCCGUCCUCUCCA
rnacentral:tRNA from 1 species